GACGAACCGUGCGAACGUUAUUCGGAAUCACUGGGCUUAAAGGGCGCGUAGGCGGGCGACCAAGUCAGGGGUGAAAUCGUUCGGCCCAACCGGACAAGGGCCCCUGAUACUGGUUGUCUCGAGGGAGGUAGGGGUCGAUGGAACUUCCGGUGGAGCGGUGAAAUGCGUAGAUAUCGGAAGGAACGCCGGUGGCGAAAGCGAUCGACUGGACCUCUUCUGACACUGAGGCGCGAAAGCCAGGGGAGCAAACGGG
rnacentral:rRNA from 1 species